rnacentral:rRNA from 1 species
GGCCCCGGGUGUAAACCUCUUUCAGCAGGGACGAAGCGCAAGUGACGGUACCUGCAGAAGAAGCACCGGCCAACUACGUGCCAGCAGCCGCGGUAAGACGUAGGGUGCGAGCGUUGUCCGGAUUUAUUGGGCGUAAAGAGCUCGUAGGCGGCUUGUCGCGUCGACCGUGAAAACUUGGGGCUCAACCCCAAGCCUGCGGUCGAUACGGGCAGGCUAGAGUUCGGUAGGGGAGACUGGAAUUCCUGGUGUAGCGGUGAAAUGCGCAGAUAUCAGGAGGAACACCGGUGGCGAAGGCGGGUCUCUGGGCCGAUACUGACGCUGAGGAGCGAAAGCGUGGGGAGCGAACAGGAUUAGAUACCCUGGUAGUCCACGCUGUAAACGUUGGGCGCUAGGUGUGGGGGGCCUCUCCGGUUCUCUGUGCCGCAGCUAACGCAUUAAGCGCCCCGCCUGGGGAGUACGGCCGCAAGGCUAAAACUCAUAGGAAUUGACGGGGGCCCGCACAAGCGGCGGAGCAUGCGGAUUAAUUCGAUGCAACGCGAAGAACCUUACCUGGGUUUGACAUGGCCGCAAAACUUCCAGAGAUGGGAGGUCCUUCGGGGGCG